CCUGCCCCUAGAGGGUAUGGCUGCUGUGUCACAUGAGUGUCAGUAGGUAACAAAGAGGAGACAGGCUAUGUCCAUGCUGUGUUCUGAUCUAGAAACAUCUGAGUGAUUAGUAGUCUAAUAUU
rnacentral:snoRNA from 1 species